rnacentral:rRNA from 1 species
UGAAACCCUAUGUUUACAAGCAGACAAAGCACGUUAAGGUGCGAUGUCGUACUUAUUGAAGAACGGUCCGGCGAGUUAUUUUAUAUGGCAAGGUUAAGUACUAAAGGUACGAAGCCGAAGUGAAAACGAGUCUGAAAAGGGCGUAUAAGUCAUAUGAAAUAGACCCGAAACCGGGUGACCUAUCCAUGAGCAGGUUGAAGCUUGAGUAAAAUCAAGUGGAGGACCGAACUCGUAAGCGUUAAAAAGCUUUGGGAUGACUUGUGGAUAGCGGAGAAAUUCCAAUCGAACUCGGAUAUAGCUGGUUCUCCUCGAAAUAGUUUUAGGACUAGCCUUGUUUAGUAGUACGUGGGGGUAGAGCACUGAAGGAGCUAGGGGCCAAACCAGGUUACCAAACUCUAUCAAACUCCGAAUACCAUGUAUGUAAGAACAGGAGUCAGACUGUGGGAGAUAAGUUCCAUGGUCAAAAGGGAAACAGCCCAGAUCGUCAAUUAAGGUCCCAAAGAUAUAGUUAAGUGGGAAACGAUGUGAUUUUGCGUAAACAACCAGGAUGUUGGCUUAGAAGCAGCCAUUCAUUUAAAGAGUGCGUAAUAGCUCACUGGUCGAGUGGAGUUGCGCGGAAAAUUACCGGGGCUAAACUAUACACCGAAAUUGCGGGUUUGUAACGUAAGUUAUAAGCGGUAGAGGAGCAUUCUGUUGUAGGAAGAAGGUAGAUCGAAAGGACUGCUGGACGAAGCAGAAGAGAGAAUGCCGGAAUAAGUAGCGAAAGCAUGGUGAGAAUCCAUGCCAUCGAAAGUCUAAGGUUUCCUGGGGAAGGUUCGUCCGCCCAGGGUAAGUCGGGACCUAAGGAGAGGCCGAAAGGCGUAUCCGAUGGACAGCAGGUUGAGAUUCCUGCACCACUGAUACACUUAAAAGAUGCAAGGGACACAGGAGUGGAAGGAAAGCGAGGAAGAGGAAAAACUCGUAUCGAAAGAUAUAGUGAAAAAAAAGUAACGAAUUUCCAAGAAGCACACUGGCGAGAAAAGCUUGUAGAUAUUGUGUAUAAGUGCCCGUACCGCAAACCGACACAGGUAGAUGAGGAGAGGAUCCUAAGAUGAGCGAGAGAAGCAUUGUUAAGGAACUCGGCAAAUUGACCCCGUAACUUAGGGAGAAGGGGUACCAAGGUAAAACUUGGUCGCAGUGAAAAGGCCCAAGCAACUGUUUAACAAAAACACAGGUUUCUGCAAAAUCGAAAGAUGAAGUAUAGGAGCUGACGCCUGCCCAGUGCUGGAAGGUUAAGGGGAAGAGUUAGAUGUAAAUCGAAGCUUAGAACCAAAGCCCCAGUGAACGGCGGCCGUAACUAUAACGGUCCUAAGGUAGCGAAAUUCCUUGUCAGGUAAGUUCUGACCCGCACGAAAGGCGUAAUGAUUUGGGCACUGUCUCGACAAUGUACUCGGCGAAAUUGUAGUACUAGUGAAGAUGCUAGUUACCUGCGACAAGACAGAAAGACCCCAUGGAGCUUUACUGUAGCUUGAUACUGGGUUUUGAUAAUUUAUGUACAGGAUAGGUGGGAUGCGAAGAAAUUAGGGCGCCAGCUUUAAUGGAGCAAACCUUGGGAUACCACCCUUAAAUUAUUGAAAUUCUAACCUGUGAUCAUGAACUGGUCAGGGGACAAUGUCAGGCGGGCAGUUUGACUGGGGCGGUCGCCUCCAAAAGAGUAACGGAGGCGCGCAAAGGUUUCCUCAGCGCGGACAGAAAUCGCGCGAAAGAGUGCAAAGGCAGAAGGAAGCUUAACUGAAAGACUGACAAGUCGAACAGAUACGAAAGUAGGUCUUAGUGAUCCGGUGGUAGUGAGUGGAAAUGCCAUCGCUCAACGGACAAAAGUUACCCUGGGGAUAACAGGCUUAUCUCUCCCAAGAGUUCACAUCGACGGGGAGGUUUGGCACCUCGAUGUCGGCUCAUCACAUCCUGGGGCUGUAUUCGGUCCCAAGGGUUCGGCUGUUCGCCGAUUAAAGUGGUACGCGAGCUGGGUUCAGAACGUCGUGAGACAGUUCGGUCCCUAUCCGUCGCAGGCGUAGGAAAUUUGAGGAGACCUGUCCUUAGUACGAGAGGACCGGGAUGGACGUACCGCUGGUGUACCAGUUGUUCUGCCAAGGGCAUGGCUGGGUAGCUAAGUACGGAAAGGAUAAGCGCUGAAAGCAUCUAAGCGCGAAGCCCACUUCAAGAUAAGAUUUCCCACCGCAAGGUUAAGAUCCCAGGAAGACUACCUGGUUGA